rnacentral:rRNA from 1 species
UACGUAGGGUGCAAGCGUUGUCCGGAAUUAUUGGGCGUAAAGAGCUCGUAGGCGGCCUGUUGCGUCCGCUGUGAAAGCCCCGGGGCUUAACCCCGGGUCGGCAGUGGAUACGGGCAGGCUAGAGGUAGGUAGGGGAGAAUGGAAUUCCCGGUGUAGCGGUGAAAUGCGCAGAUAUCGGGAGGAACACCGGUGGCGAAGGCGGUUCUCUGGGCCUUACCUGACGCUGAGGAGCGAAAGCGUGGGGAGCGAACAGGAUUGAGAUACCCCGUGUAAGUC